rnacentral:tRNA from 1 species
GGGCGAAUAGCUCAGCUGGGAGAGCGCUUCCCUUACAAGGAAGAUGUCGGGGGUUCAAGUCCCUCUUCGCCCACCA